UACGUAGGGUGCAAGCGUUAUCCGGAAUUACUGGGCGUAAAGGGCGCGUAGGCGGCUUGACAAGUCACUUGUGAAAUCUCCGGGCUUAACUCGGAACGGCCAAGUGAAACUGUUGAGCUAGAGUGUAGAAGGGGCAAUCGGAAUUCUUGGUGUAGCGGUGAAAUGCGUAGAUAUCAAGAGGAACACCUGAGGUGAAGACGGGUUGCUGGGCUGAUACUGACGCUGAGGCGCGAAAGCUAGGGUAGCAAACGGG
rnacentral:rRNA from 1 species